UCACUGUGUGAUGCCUGAUGAGGUGUUGUAUUAGUGAUAAAGUGAGAGCGAUUUGUGUGUGGGUGAUGAUCAGAGGAAUGGAUUGUCAUGGAAGAGUGUGGUGUUCGUUGGGAUGGUUACGCUUGAGAGGAGCCAGGGGUCGUCAGCGUUUGGUGAUGAGCAAAAUGAUAGUGUGCCUGAUGCGUGAUGAGCCCUUGGUAAUCAGAGGGGAAUUCUCUGUUAUGCCUGAUGCCCCCAUUCUGUUAUGUCGUGUAUUGCCCCCUACAAUCAAAAGUGUCUAUCAAGUUUGUUGGGGUGGAACCAAGUGGUGGGGAGCCUUGGCCGUAUUGGUGUUGAUGGUGUCGUUGUGAAGGGAAUAGGAUUCUGUUAUGUGGAAUCCACAGUAACGUGAAAAAUGUGCAUGAAGGAUGAUGGUGUUGCUACUAGCUUUUCCUCAAUUUUCUUUUUUUAUUUUUUUUCUUUUUUUUUCUUUUCUUUUUUCUUUUUCAAUUUCUUUGUUUUUUUGGGUUAAAUAUGUUUUUAGUCCCUAUACUUUGGAGCGAUUUUGGUUUUAGUCCCUCUUUCAAACUAUGGUACAAUUUAGUCCUCC
rnacentral:lncRNA from 1 species